UACAGAGGGUGCAAGCGUUAAUCGGAUUUACUGGGCGUAAAGAGCACGUAGGUGGUUUGAUAGGUUGAAUUGUGAAAGACUUGGGCUUAACCCAAGAGUGGCAUUCAAAACGGUCAAGCUAGAGUGUUGGAGAGGGAAGUAGAAUUUCUGGUGUAGCGGUGAAAUGCGUAGAUAUCAGAAAGAAUGACAGUGGCGAAGGCGACUUCCUGGCCAAAUACUGACACUGAGGUGCGAAAGCGUGGGUAGCGAACGGGAUUAGAUACCCCGGUAGUCCACGCCGUAAACGAUGAGAACUAGAUGUUUGGGGGCUUGCCCCUGAGUGUCGCAGCUAACGCGAUAAGUUCUCCGCCUGGGGAAUACGGUCGCAAGACUA
rnacentral:rRNA from 1 species